AUUGAACGCUGGCGGCAUGCUUUACACAUGCAAGUCGAACGGCAGCGGGGGCUUCGGCCCGCCGGCGAGUGGCGAACGGGUGAGUAAUGCAUCGGAACGUGCCCAGUCGUGGGGGAUAACACAUCGAAAGAUGUGCUAAUACCGCAUACGUCCUGAGGGAGAAAGCGGGGGAUCUUCGGACCUCGCGCGAUUGGAGCGGCCGAUGUCGGAUUAGCUAGUUGGUGGGGUAAAAGCCCACCAAGGCGACGAUCCGUAGCGGGUCUGAGAGGAUGAUCCGCCACACUGGGACUGAGACACGGCCCAGACUCCUACGGGAGGCAGCAGUGGGGAAUUUUGGACAAUGGGGGCAACCCUGAUCCAGCCAUGCCGCGUGAGUGAAGAAGGCCUCGGUUGUAAGACUCUUCGGUACGGAAGAAAUACGCCGCCUCUAACCAUAAGGCGGUGGAGUGACGGUA
rnacentral:rRNA from 1 species